rnacentral:tRNA from 1 species
GCCCAGCUAGCUCAGUUGGUAGAGCAUGGGACUCUUAAUUCCAGGGUCGUAGGUUCGUGCCCCAUGUUGGGCG